UACGAAGGGGGCUAGCGUUGUUCGGAAUUACUGGGCGUAAAGCGCGCGCAGGCGGUCUUCCAAGUCAGUGGUGAAAGCCCGGAGCUCAACUCCGGAACUGCCAUUGAAACUGUUUAGCUUGAGGAUGAGAGAGGUGAGUGGAAUUCCCAGUGUAGAGGUGAAAUUCGUAGAUAUUGGGAAGAACACCGGUGGCGAAGGCGGCUCACUGGCUCAUUACUGACGCUCAGGCGCGAUAGCGUGGGGAUCAAACAGG
rnacentral:rRNA from 1 species